rnacentral:misc_RNA from 1 species
UACGAAGGGUGCAAGCGUUACUCGGAAUUACUGGGCGUAAAGCGUGCGUAGGUGGUUUGUUAAGUCUGAUGUGAAAGCCCUGGGCUCAACCUGGGAACUGCAUUGGAUACUGGCUUACUAGAGUGCGGUAGAGGGGUGCGGAAUUCCCGGUGUAGCAGUGAAAUGCGUAGAUAUCGGGAGGAACAUCCGUGGCGAAGGCGGCACCCUGGACCAGCACUGACACUGAGGCACGAAAGCGUGGGGAGCAAACAGG